UACGUAGGGUGCAAGCGUUAAUCGGAAUUACUGGGCGUAAAGCGUGCGCAGGCGGUUAUGUAAGACAGAUGUGAAAUCCCCGGGCUCAACCUGGGAACUGCAUUUGUGACUGCAUAGCUUGAGUGCGGCAGAGGGGGAUGGAACUCCGCGUGUAGCAGUGAAAUGCGUAGAUAUGCGGAGGAACACCGAUGGCGAAGGCAAUCCCCUGGGCCUGCACUGACGCUCAUGCACGAAAGCGUGGGGAGCAAACAGG
rnacentral:rRNA from 1 species